UCCACCUCCAAGAAUAUAUGGCCAUUCUCCCCAUCUCUGGUCGUUGCCGCUGACAAGCCCAUUAAAAUCGUCCGGUUGUGCCUCCUUUUCAUCUCCUCGCCAUCUCUUGUUAAUCCUCGGCGAUCCAGAAGAUCUAGGAGGAGCAGAAAGAAAACGAAUCUGCCUGCACCUCGCCGACUACCGACCCCGGCGCAUACAUGUCGCAGUCUACUCCUCGCAGCCGUCCUUGAACCCAGCGUGCACACGCUGUGGCGUGCACAUCGCCGGCCGGUCACCUCGUCCUCGGCGCGCUCGAGCUGCAUCCUGUAUAGUCCACACUACCAGUUUCCACCAUGGACGCUAUUCCACUACAGGUUCAUUACAAUGCCAAUAGCGUAGAUGAAUUAGCAGGCAGGAGUGAUGGUCCACUAUAAUAUAUAGAAGCAUUAGGAGGGAUUGUAAUCAGCAAUAGAGACUGAUUCUCAUUCAAAGAAAGAUGGUGUCCAGAUUGAUAAAUAUUAUCUUUUCUAGUUGUCUCGUUUUCCAGAAAGAUAUGAGCAAGUACAUUGGUCAUAUAAGGAGUGUUUUUCACUCAAUUUUCUAAAUGAUAUU